rnacentral:lncRNA from 1 species
GGAUCUGGGCCAGGACUGGAUGCACCCACUACAACGGCAAGUUCCACUGCGCCACUGGUGAUUGCAAUCAUCAGAUAGAAUGCAACGGCCUUGGUGGAGCCACCCCCGCUACACUAGCACAGUUUAGCCUCCACCAUGGCCACAAUGACUUCUCUUCUUACGGAGUUUCUUUAGUUGAUGGGUUUAAUAUCCCUAUGACAGUUACUCCACAUGAAGGUAAAGGGGUUUGUCCUGUUGUUGGCUGUAGGGCAAAUCUGCUCGCCACGUGUCCGGCUAAGUUGCAGCUGAGAUACCCUGCUGGUCAUGGUCCGGUGGUGGCGUGUAAAAGUGGGUGUGAAGCGUUCGGGACAGAUGAGUUCUGCUGUAGGAAUCAUUACAAUAGUCCACAGACCUGUAGAGCAUCAAGUUAUUCUCAGUUUUUUAAACAUGCUUGUCCUGCCACCUUUACAUAUGCUCAUGAUAG